UGAACAAAAAUCAACAAUAUGAAACUCAACAUUACACAAUCGAACUCAUUCAUUUUCAUACAUUUUGUAAGAUAUCAAUGUCGAGAAUACUUUUGUGCGUCGGUUUUAAAAAUGUUCUUGUCGCUCUGAAACAACAUAUCGAAAAUUCUAGUUUUAUUUUACACGGAAAAAAAUUGUUCGACAAUGUUGACUGAUAAAAAUUUGAAAAGAUUUAUUUAUUAAAAAACAUUAUAAAAGUAUAAAACUUUAAAAAGUGCCUAAAGUUGCUAUACAGCAAGCUCAACGAUACAGAUGGAAAAAAAGCAACAAUACUAUCAUACGAGUGAGAAAUACUUUUACCCCCUAAUCUUGAUAAUAAAUCUUCAAAAAAAUGGCAAUUUUAAAAUCCGCAGUUGCGCAAUAAUAAAUAUAAAAUUUUGGUGUAGUAUCUCGAAUUUUUUACUCAAUCUAAUACUAAUUAUUUAUCUGUUACAUAAUUUUUUUCCGUGUAAAUAUAAUGAUUUUUAAAAUGGAUAAAAAUAAUCGAAAUUUUAAAAUUAUUUUGAAACAAUAUUUCUUUUGUCAGACAAAAUAGGCCGGCAUUUUGUUUCUAUUAAUACACUAAAACGAGUAUAUAGUAUAAUUGUAUUGCUUUGAAUUUAUUCAUACAUAUUUCUGUAAUCAUUAAUCAUGAACACAUUUUUUAGUUAUCUAAUUCCUAACAAAGAUAUUUACUUCCAUUUAUUCAUUCACGAUAAUCGCACAUUUAUCAUUCAGUGAAAAAAAAAAAAAAAAAGGUAUACAAAUCAUUUUAUAAUUCAUUAUUUGUGUAUUUAUGUCAGUGUAUGUCGCGAUAUUUACAAAUAAUCUACAUAACAGCACGUAUAUAAAUGUAAACGCAAAAAGAAACCAAGCCGCAAAUCGCGCGAUUUAUGUGGUAUAAAAAGUCAACCAGUGUGUUUUUUAUUAGUUUUAAAAUUAACUAGAUUUUAGAGCAAAGUAAAAUACUUAUUAUUAUCAUCAUUAUACACGGAAAAAUGAGCAAUCGCUUGACUCUACCGAAAAUAUCGGUUUUAAUAAUUUAAAAGUACAGAUUCGAAGUCAAUUAAAAAUAAGCUCAUCGUUAUACCAAGAUUAUAAAUUCACCUCUUGAAAAAAUUAAAAUUGGUUGUAGGAGCUCAAAGCGACGAACGAGACUUUGAAGAGCCUCCAGACCCAGCUGGAACUGGCUUAUGCCUCGACAGCCUCAUCCGGGGCACCUGUUGCCGGAAGCGGGAUCAUCAGUGGUCUCGGAGAUUACGGGGGAUUGUUAA